rnacentral:rRNA from 1 species
UACGUAGGGGGCAAGCGUUGUCCGGAUUUAUUGGGCGUAAAGAGCGUGUAGGCGGCCUGAAAGGUCAGCUGUGAAAACUCGAGGCUCAACCUCGAGACGUCGGUUGAAACCAUCUGGCUAGAGUCCGGAAGAGGAGUGUGGAAUUCCUGGUGUAGCGGUGAAAUGCGCAGAUAUCAGGAGGAACACCGGUGGCGAAGGCGGGACUCUGGGCCGAUACUGACGCUGAGGAGCGAAAGCGUGGGGAGCGAACAGG